GCCGGAUUAGCUCAGCUGGUAGAGCAACUGAUUUGUAAUCAGUAGGUCGUUGGUUCGAUUCCGACAUCCGGCACCA
rnacentral:tRNA from 4 species